UGUCUUGUCACAAACUGUACAUUUGGCGCUGACAGGCAGGUUGCCUUCCAGCCACUGGUGAGGCAUAGAGAUCUUGAGAGAGAGGAAGUCAUUUUUAUUAUCCACAGGCAUCCAUGGCAUCAAAAGUCAACAAGACAACCACACUUUGCUGAAAGACCAACUACCCCAAAAGCCUGUGUCCUGCUACCCAUGGCGCAUCGUGACAGAAAGACCAAAUUCAAAGGAAACAACAGAUGGACGGUAGGGGAACUCCACGGA